rnacentral:tRNA from 1 species
AUUGCUUUGGCAGAGUAGUGCAAUAGAUUUAGGAUCUUUAAACGUAAGGAAUUUACAGGCAAUA